rnacentral:rRNA from 1 species
UACGGGGGGAGCAAGCGUUGUUCGGAUUUACUGGGCGUAAAGGGCGCGUAGGCGGCCGUGCAAGUCGGGAGUGAAAGCCCGGGGCUCAACCCCGGAACGGCUCUCGAGACUGCAAGGCUCGAGUGCGGAAGAGGCAACUGGAAUUCCCAGUGUAGCGGUCGAAAUGCGUAGAUAUUGGGAAGAACACCUGAGGCGAAGGCGG